UACGUAGGUGACAAGCGUUGUCCGGAUUUACUGGGCGUAAAGAGCGCGCAGGCGGUCGAUCAAGUCGAGUGUGAAAGCCCCCGGCUCAACUGGGGAGGGUCAUUCGAUACUGAUCGACUCGAAGGCAGGAGAGGGUAGUGGAAUUCCCGGUGUAGUGGUGAAAUGCGUAGAUAUCGUUUGGAACGCCAAUGGUGAAAACAGCUCGCUGGGGGUGCGCUGACACUGAGACACGAAAGCCAGGGGAGCAAACGGG
rnacentral:rRNA from 1 species